CUUGCGUUGACUGUGAUUCGCACUUUGGCGACGCUGUGUGGUGGUGUUUGGUGACUCACUAUGUGACAAGCGUGCACCACAUCCCCGUGGCCGAGCAGCACGUCGCCCCACAUGACGAACCAGCAGCAGACGGAGGGAUGCGAGCUGAUCCCUGCCGGGCCGCCGUCCUCGCGCGGGAGAAUCUCAUCGCCACAGUGUGAAUGGGUAAGAAGUGAAUACACAGUUCAAUGAGCCAAAUUAAUUUAUUUUCUCCACCAGACGCUCGAGGACAUUUACGAGCCGGUCCAGCCGCUCGUUGAUCCCCGCGAUCCCCCUGAUGAUUUCUUCCUGCGAUUGCAGGACCCCCUCCGCGAGGACCCUUCCACUGCGUCCGGGUGGU
rnacentral:lncRNA from 1 species